GCAGGAGCACUAAUUGAAAAUUUGGGUGGCCUUGCUUAUUUAUUUUUCUGGAACGCAGUGGGUUAUAUUUUCAUGGCAUUUUCUCAGCAGUGCGGCGUUUCCAUUUCAAACUACAACAAUGAGAAGAAAAGCCAGUCGCCGUGAGCGGCCGACGCGCGGAGGGCCCCGCUCUGGCUGUGGUCCUGCGGCUGUACUAACUAGAUCCAAGCCCGCAGACGCCGCUCCUUCGGGAAACUAAAAGACAAGUUUACUUCCUUUUAGAAGAAGAGAAAACACAGGGAAAUGCUCCGUUACCGUGACAAGUGAAGGCUAAACAAGAGGAUUAGAAAUACUUUUCAGCAUGGCUGACUCCUCCCCGACAUGGCUGUGAAAUAGCAAACCUAAAAUGUUUUUCCAAGAAAUGUAUUUCAGAGAAGAAACAAGAGCAAACCGCUUCUCCUGACUUGCCCUCUCCUGGUGCAGCCGGGAGCUGCCCUUUCACGUCAGUGGCGAUGCAGCACCGCAGAGAAUGUUUUACACUUGGUGCACAGACAAAACUCGCAGCUCAAUGUAGGCAUCGCCCAAAGGAACUUAAUGCCCCAAAUUUCGAAACUAUGCCUAAUAACAACACGCAGUGUGGGC
rnacentral:lncRNA from 1 species